rnacentral:rRNA from 1 species
CACCGCGGUUAUACGAGAGACCCUAGUUGAUAGCUACGGCGUAAAGAGUGGUCUAGGACCCACAGCAAAUUAAAGCCAAAGACCUCCCAAGCUGUCGCACGCACCCGGAGGCACGAAGCCCAAACACGAAGGUAGCUUUAUCACAUCUCCUAACCCCACGAAAGCUAAGAAA